rnacentral:rRNA from 1 species
GAGUUUGAUCAUGGCUCAGGAUGAACGCUAGCGGCAGGCUUAAUACAUGCAAGUCGAGUGGCAGCAGCUUUAUAGCAAUAUAGAGGCUGGCGACCGGCAAACGGGUGCGGAACACGUACACAACCUUCCUUGAAUAGGGGGAUAGCCCAUAGAAAUGUGGAUUAAUACCCCGUAAUAUAGCGGUGUGGCAUCACACUGUUAUUAUAGUUUCGGCGAUUCGAGAUGGGUGUGCGGCUGAUUAGGUAGUUGGCGGGGUAAAGGCCCACCAAGCCUUCGAUCAGUAGCUGAUGUGAGAGCAUGAUCAGCCACACGGGCACUGAGACACGGGCCCGACUCCUACGGGAGGCAGCAGUAAGGAAUAUUGGUCAAUGGACGCAAGUYUGAACCAGCCAUGCCGCGUGAAGGAUGAAGKUYCUCUGGAUUGUAAACUUCUUUUAUAGGGGGCGRAAAAAGGUCUUCUAGGUCACUGACAGUACCCU